UACGGAGGGAGCUAGCGUUGUUCGGAAUUACUGGGCGUAAAGCGCACGUAGGCGGCCUUGUAAGUUAGAGGUGAAAGCCCGGGGCUCAACCCCGGAAUUGCCUUUAAGACUGCAUCGCUUGAAUUGUGGAGAGGUGAGUGGAAUUCCGAGUGUAGAGGUGAAAUUCGUAGAUAUUCGGAAGAACACCAGUGGCGAAGGCGACUCACUGGACACAUAUUGACGCUGAGGUGCGAAAGCGUGGGGAGCAAACAGG
rnacentral:rRNA from 1 species